rnacentral:rRNA from 1 species
UACAGAGGGGGCAAGCGUUGUUCGGAAUUACUGGGCGUAAAGGGCGCGUAGGCGGCCUUCUAAGUCGAACGUGAAAUCCCCGGGCUCAACCCGGGAACUGCGUCCGAUACUGGAAGGCUUGAAUCCGGGAGAGGGAUGUGGAAUUCCAGGUGUAGCGGUGAAAUGCGUAGAUAUCUGGAGGAAUACCGGUGGCGAAGGCGGCGACCUGGGUCGAUACUGACGCUGAGGCGCGAAAGCGUGGGGAGCAAACAGG